AGCGUGUGGUUUAAUUCGUUGCUACACGAGACUUACUGGUUUGACAUAUAGGUUGUAGGGAACUGAAAAGGGACCGACCCUUCGGGGAGCCUAUACAGGUGUUUGCAUGGCUGUCGUCAGCUCGUGUCGUGAGAUGUUCGGUUAAGUCCGCUAGCGAGCGCAACCCUCGUCGUAUGUUAUAUGUGUCAUACGAGACUGCCGGUAAAAGCCGGAGGAAGGUGAGGAUGAUGUCAAGUCAGCAUGACCUUUAUAUCCAGGGCUACACACACGCUACAAUGGUCUGUACAAUGGGUAGCCAAGCCGCGAGGCGGAGCCAAUCCUGAAAGCAGGCCUCAGUUCAGAUUGCAGUCUGCAACUCGACUGCAUGAAGCCGGAGUUGCUAGUAACCGCAGGUCAGCAAUACUGCGGUGAAUACGUUCCCGGGUCUU
rnacentral:rRNA from 1 species